GACGUAGGGCGCGAGCGUUGUCCGGAUUUAUUGGGCGUAAAGAGCUCGUAGGCGGCUUGUCGCGUCGUCCGUGAAAACUUGGGGCUCAACCCCAAGCUUGCGGUCGAUACGGGCAGGCUAGAGUUCGGUAGGGGAGACUGGAAUUCCUGGUGUAGCGGUGAAAAUGCGCAGAUAUCAGGAGGAACACCGGUGGCGAAGGCGGGUCUCUGGGCCGAUACUGACGCUGAGGAGCGAAAGCGUGGGGAGCGAACGGG
rnacentral:rRNA from 1 species